UGGAAAUGGAGAUAAGCACAGCUGUGGUCACCUUGUCAAAUAUCAACGCAGCAGUCUGUUUGUCUUAUGCCCACUCUAGCUGUCAGCUGAAAUGUCCUGUGCUGCUAUUAUGUCAUCCUGGCCACCCCGAAAGGUAGCCUGAGCUUGUCUUUUGUCAUCAUGAAAUUUCUCCCCACAGGGCAGAGCCUGCUGUUAAGUAGAGGGAGGUGACCACCCAAUGAGGCAGAAUGUUGGAAGAUUCAGGACACCUAAAAGGAGGUACUUUUUCAUGCAGCACAUACUUAAACUGUGGAACUCACUCCCACAAGAGGCAAUGAUGGCCACCAGCAUGGAUGGCUUUAAAAGAGGAUUAGGCAAAUUCAUGAAGGAUGGCUACUUAGCCAGGAUGGCUCUGCUCUGCCUCCACAGUCCUUCUCAAUUUCCGGUGCUGGAGACACGGGAGGGGAGAGGCCUCUUGUGCUUGAAUCCUGCUUGUGAGUUUCCCACAGGCAUCUGGUUGGUCACUGUGAGAAUGGAAUGCUGGACUAGAUGGACCUGAUCUUACAUUUUUAUGGAUGUUCCAGGUGGCAAAUGCUGUGAGUCAGGCAGAGGCGGGGCUAGCUGCUAAAGCACCCAGAGUGGUGCACAGUUGUGCACCCAGGGGUGGGGGGAGCCGCCCACGGAGGCAGCGCGGUGAGCGUCCCAUGGGGCAGGGCAGUGAGCACAGGGGCGCCACCACCCAUGGUGAGCGUCCCGGGGGGUGACACAGCAAUGUAUGACACCCAGGGCGGAGAGCCCGUGGAGUUAGGCAGUGGCAACUGGAUGUUGGAGAAUGGAGGCUUGCAUCCCAGAUGGCCUAAGCUAGCCUGCUGCCCUCAAACGUAGUAGAGGGCAGUGGAAGGAAGAUUCAGCUACCUGUCUGUUCAGCUGCCUCUGUACAUGGACUAGGGGUGGGGUGGGCCUUUAUCAAAUCCUUUAGGUCAGGCAGCAGUAUAUCUUGGACCAGUUCUGCUGGAAGGGCAAUACCCUAGAAAUUAAUAAAUGGUAAGAUUUUGAAUAUUGGGCGUUUAAAGAAGAUUGAAGGCCAAUGGAAAAAUGCAGGCUAAGCUUUAUUUCCAAGCCAAGACCUCACCUGGGAUAAAGGUGUUAACAUGACCAGACUCUCCACGUGUCCCUAUUUUUCAGGGACAGUCCCAGAAUUACAGAAGCCAUCCCAGUUUUUGAUUUGAUUUGAUCCUGGAAUGUCCCAUUUUUCCUUAGGACGUGACAUUUUUCAUUGGAGAAAUGAUGAAGGGUAUGGAGUUAGGCAACCCCUGAGCCAAGGAGAUAAGAACCUUUAAAAGACAUCUGUAGGCAUCCCUGUGUAAGGAUUUUUUCAAAAUGUUUAAUGUUUAUGUUUUUAAAUAAGACAACCCAGUCAGAUGAGCGAGGUAUAAAUAACAUAUUAUAUUAUAUUGCAUUGCAUUGCAUUAUAUUAUAUUAUAUUAUAUUAUAUUAUAUUAAUUGUUAUUACAGAAAAGAACAUCCCUGUUUUCAUCAGAGAAAUGUUGGAGGGUAUGCAUGAUGAAUGGUGUUGAUGGCCCAUCUAAGAGGAUGAAUAUUGGGCCUGGGCAGACAGAGG